AGAAUAAAACAGUGUACAUCAUUACAGCGUCACCAUCAUCUCCCUAAACCAGCCUGUCUACAUAGUGGAGAAGAAGAUCCCAGAGGUGGAGGAUUCCAUGGGAAAAGCUUUAGGCUGGACUGUGAAAAUCCUCAGUGUGAGAGCUGAGGAUGGGAUUGAGAUGCGCACCAUUUUCAGAGAAACUACAGCCAAGACUUUCGUCAGUUUCUUCGCCAUGGACUCCAGUGGUGCUGUGAUCCCAGCCACGGAGGUCAAAGAGAAAGUGCACAGUGAGCACAAAGUUUUAACAUCGGAGCUGGUGAAUGUUUUUGGUCCUGGUCUGGAAAUCAAAGUGGAGGACAGUUCUGGAAGCUCUGGAGAU